rnacentral:lncRNA from 1 species
CUCGUGAUCCGCCCGCCUCUGCCUCCCAAAGUGCUAGGAUUACAGGCGUGAGCCACCGCGCCCGGCCAAAUGAAGCGUCCAUUGACCGGGAACUUUCUUUCUUCCUCUGGGUGUGAGGCCUAGUGUCUCAGAGGAUGAACGCACGACGGAAAAGAGUAGGGAACAUUUUGCUUGAUGAGAAAAUCCGCCAGCAAGGAUGUUGGGCUCUAAGCAGAACUGAAGCUCUGGAAUUAAGAACACAGCCAAGGAAGAGCUCUGGACUCUGAGUUUAAAGAAGCUGACUGACUUGUAAGGCAAUUCCAGGUAAGAUUGGUGAAUCAAGUUAAGAAUCAAAAGCAACUGAGAUCAACGUGGAGGCCUGGAAGGUAAGGGCCAUAUUUUACCUAGAUACUAGCUUAG